AGCUCGGUGGUCGAGUGGUAAGACGUCUGCACUAAAAAUGCAGGAGGUUGUGGGUUCGAGUCCCACCCGAGUGA
rnacentral:tRNA from 1 species